GACGAACGCUGGCGGCGUGCUUAACACAUGCAAGUCGAACGAUGAACCCGGAGCUUGCUCCGGUGGAUUAGUGGCGAACGGGUGAGUAACACGUGAGUAACCUGCCCUUGACUCUGGGAUAACUGCGGGAAACUGUAGCUAAUACCGGAUACGACCCUCGGCGGCACCGCCAGGGGGUGGAAAGAAAUUCGGUCAAGGAUGGACUCGCGGCCUAUGAGCUAGUUGGUGAGGUAACGGCGCACCAAGGCGACGACGCGUAGCCGGCCUGAGAGGGUGAACGGCCACACGGGGACUGAGACACGGCGCAGACUCGUACGGGAGGCAGCAGUGGGGAAGAUUGCACAAUGGGCGCAAGCCUGAUGCAGCAACGCCGCGUGAGGGAUGACGGCCUUCGGGUUGUAAACCUCUUUUACCCGGGACGAUAAUGACGGUACCGGGAGAAUAAGCCCCGGCUAACUUCGUGCCAGCCGCCGCAGUAA
rnacentral:rRNA from 1 species